GGUCUCUUCCUUCAUUUUGUCACCAUCCAGCAUUCCCCAGGGCAGGCCUCAACAUCAGUGACCAGCUUUGCUUUCUUCCCCUUUUGGGCUCAGCGGCUCAGCUGGUGGGUAGAGAGUGGGGGCUUUGACAGGGAAAAGGAGGACGUUGCUGAAGUGGGUGAGGGUGCACAUCUCUGACCUAAUGGUAGGAAUCCUGCUUGAUGCCAAGUGAACCCUUGAUAGUGAGUCCAGAAUUUCAGUAAGGGGACAAGGAAGUAGCACGUGUGGCAUUCCCACUAUAGCCAGAUGUGGCCUGAUUUGGUCCCCCGCCAAUCCUGGUGGAGUAGGCAUCAUCUGCAUCUUACCAAGGAGGAAGAUGAGCCUUGGAGACGUUGCCCAAAUCAAAGCUGGUAAGUGGGGGAACCAGUAUCCAACUCAGACCUGCUGAACCCAGAGCCACAGCUCUCCCCUCUAAUCAAGAGGACAGCAAACUGGCUAAUGUUCAGUUGAGGUUUAUCAACUGUUAUGGAGAGGAAAGGAAGAGAAAUGAACAUUUAUUAAGCAUUUAACUCGUGCACAGCUCCUUUUAGGCACUGGGGACGUAGAAAGGUGACUAUAAUGCAGUGGCUGCCCUCAAGGCACUUAACAGUCUUGGGGAGAGAUAAACCAGGGCGGAGGGAGGCCUGGGCAGGAGAGGCGGGCCUUAGGAAGAACAGUUGCUCAUGUUUAUAUGUGCAGGUCUCUUCUAAGUUUUUUUGGUAGUAUUUAUUUGGAUCUGGAUCCAUACAAUUAUUAUUCUUUUCAUUUUACUGAUGAGGAAGCUAAGACAAGUGACUUGCCCAAGGUCACCAAGUUAGCAGAGUCGAGAUUCAAAUCCAGGCUGUCUGCCUCAAGAGCUGCAUUUUCUUUAGACCACCGUAGGAGAAUAGGCAAACUGGUCCCUUUGUUACACUAUGUGAUAAAAUUCUUUUAUCCAACUCGGGUGUCUUUGGGGAAGUUCCUAGAGAAAAACCAAGCCUACCUACCAACUUCUCUAAGUGUGUAGACAGUGUUCAUUUCUUGUUUUUCCGGCAACAACAACAGCAAACCUAGAAUACCAACCCAUUACUCCACAGUGGGAAAUGUAAGUGUGGACCAGAGCACUGGAUGUGGCGUGGAGAUGGUUGUCUCUAAGUCAGCAUGUUUACAUGGGCGCCUGCCUAACUCAUAGCCGGAAGUUUGCUUGGGAAGCACCGAGCCAGAGCGAGGGGGCUUGUCUCGUGGUACGAGAAGGGUUUCUCAGCCGCUGUAGUUUGGGGUUUCCUUUUCCACUGAUGUCUUUGCCAGUAGCAGCAAAACACUAAAAUUCAGUUCACCAUUCCUUCUUGGUUUUACAUUUACAAGUUCUGCUGUCCAAAGACAGAUGGCCUCAGUCUUCUCCUAGUCACCUCAAUUGAAAAUGCCCCUGUUUUCUCCACCAGAGUAAUUUAAUCUGGUUGACAAAGCAGUGAGUAAGGUUGACAAAGCAGCAAGUAAUGGGAAGAUGUGGGACAAAAAAACUGAUGGCCUUUAGAAAGCUGGAAAUUGUAAUUUUAAACGCAUUCUAAUAUCGCUCAUUCAAACAACAUUAAAGGAAAAAUGGGUGGUGUGCAAGAUUUCAUUACUAUUACUGGAGUGAGAAGUGACCAGGUCAGGAAUAGUGCCACGAGUCCAUAAGUAGCAUGGGGCCAAAAGAACAUAAAAGCAUGAAAUGUAUGAUGGCUAUUUGGAUGAUAUAUGUUUCUGAAUAAAGAGUCAGGCAAGGGUCUUGUAUGUGGACCAGAGUUGUUACUAGAAAUAUUAACCUGGCUUCAGCCAAUUUCAGAAGAUGCAAUGACGAAAUUGCCCAGAGCCCCUCGAGAUUGGAGAGUUCUUUUUAUGAUGGGUCCCCCAAGAAAUUACAGCUUUUCUCUAAAGUCGGAGACACUCAGCCUUUGCCAGCUACAGCGGGGUGACGAGGCAAGUGAUUUAAGACGGGAGAAGAACGGCCUCUCCUCCACUAAAUCACGUUUCCUCUUGGCCUCUGUAGUUCCACGUCACUUCACAGCGCAGUCUCAACCUGCCGUAAUUCACUCACGUUCUCUGCCCUUCCUGAUUUUCUGUGCACACGUGCUCGCUGUUUUUCUUCUAGGCCUUCAGAAACCCAGCCCAUUCGUGUGGUUGAGGAAAUUGAAAAUGCAUCCGUUAAAUAAAGGACUGCAUGGCUUUUGUGCCCUGACAGUGACCGCUGUUUGGUGAUGAGUUAAAGCCAAAGUGGGAAGUAUUCAAAACCCAAAACAAACCAAGGCGGAGUUGCAGUGGGUGAGGGGCAGGAACGCUCACUCACAGGGUACCUUGCAUGGAGAGAGGGCGCAGAGCAAACCAUGUCACACCAUCCAAUGACACCAGCUGGUCAGCUCACCACCCCCUCUGGCUAAAACUCAAGCAAAUAAAGCCGCUUCCUGUCAUUAAGCAUCUCAGAGGAAGCAGCCCUCCCUCCGUGGCCUCUAGCCCAGAGAAGCCAGCACGUCUUGGACCCACCAAGCGGGCCCAGCCUUCCUGCUGCCACCAUCUCUGCUUCUCCCAGAGGAACUUAGGGAUUUCGCCCCUGGUUUUAAAAAAACAAAACACCAACAAGCCACAAGGACCAAUGUAGGUAUUCUCCCCGCUCCAUCUUCCAGGCUCAGAGGGUGAGGCUGGAAGAUGAUAUGGAUUUGAAAACAAAAAUCUUUUUUUAAUCUUUUUAAAAACUGCUGUGGUUUUGCUGCUACACUAAGAAUUGUGAUUUGCAUUGUACGGUUUUGGACCUAUACUGUCCACGUUUUGACGGCGGAGAGGGAUCAUACUGGAGUCCCAACGCUUCAGAUUCAUCUCUGUCCUGCCCAGGAUGCACUUUUAAAUGAAGAGUUAGAAUAUUUUAUUGGCUAAUAUACUUUUCUUGUUAUUUUUACAAAGGCCACCUUUAUCCUUUUUAAUGCCAUAUUUUCAGUGUUACACUUUUAUGGCUUUUAAUUUUCGAUUUGACAGAUGUAAGAAGCAGCAUGAAUAGUUUAUACUGUGGUUUUUCAGAGACUGAAUGCCAAGAGAACUCGGUAAAUGUUUAUUCUUCUCAGCUUUCUCUUUAAAUUCCCCUAAAUAGCGCCCCAUUUGGGAACAGAGCAAGAGUGUUGAACUGAAGACCAAAAUGCCCUCUAGGUGUAAAAUAAUCCGAGAGGGAAUAUUUGCUGGGCGUCACGAAAGACUUGGAUGAAAUUUCAACCCUGAUGGUUUUCGGUGAUCCAGGAAGUCAGUGAAGCAAUCUCUCUAUACGCAGAGCCCUUUCAUGAUAAUUAGAAUGGUAUGGACAAACCAAUGAAAACAAGAGGGAAAGUGAGAAAGAUCACCCAUGAUUCUGUUUCACUGUUUGCUUUCUCCUGUCAUGGUUAAGAGAAAUGUGCAAUUGGAUCCUCAAUCAGUGGGUGGAGGAUAACAGGGUAGAUUUUCUUGUGUGCACUUGUACAGUUGUAGCUGCGAGUCCAGAAGUCCUCUAGAGCAUGUGUACUGGCACUGAGUCGGUGAGACAGUCGUGGAGUAUCCCAUUCUGAUGAGUACAGAAAAAAAAAAAAAAGAGAAAAAAUAAGAAAAAAAUCCAAAAAAAGAAGAAAACUAAAAAAAAAAAAAAUCAAAUCACCUUGUGAUUCAGUGUAUCUGUUUACUAACUCAAAUAAAGCAAUUGUUCCCUCUGGAGGGGUCCGGGUGCCCCCUGCCCACAGGGCCGCUGAGCCGGCAGCAGGAGGGGUGGCGGGCAGCGGCGGGUGAGGCUGGGACGGUGUCGCGCCGGCCUUAGAGCCCCCGGGGCCGUGGGUGCAGUGUACAUACUGUGUUUCUAUAUUCUCCUUUGUACAGAGUCACUUAACAAGUCAAGCUACUGUUUUACAGGUGCUCCUUAUUUAUUAGAGCUGUGAGAGCUUGGGGGACACACCUGGCGAGCGAGCUCGCUUUUUAAAAAUGAAAUUGGGGGGCAGGGGAAGGGAGGGGAGGGAGGGGAAGCUCGCAAGCCCAGGGAGAGAUUUAUAAACGUAAACAAAAGGAAAACUUCCGGCAACAAAUUCCACCAACCAACCAACCCACCCCAACACCGAGUCCCCGCGCAGGAACCUGCACCCCUCCUCCGGGUGCUCAUUUCCAUGCUGGGCUCCCCCACAUUCUCCUCUCUCCCUGACCGGUGUCAGAUUCAUCAAACGAAAAUAAAUCUCUAAGAAAAAAAAAA
rnacentral:lncRNA from 1 species